rnacentral:rRNA from 1 species
UCCACGCCGUAAACUAUGGAUGCUAGCUGUUAGAAGUAUCGACCCUUCUAGUAGCGAAGCUAACGCGUUAAGCAUCCCGCCUGUGGAGUACGGUCGCAAGACUAAAACAUAAAGGAAUUGACGGGGACCCGCACAAGCGGUGGAGCGUGUUGUUUAAUUCGAUGGUAAGCGAAGAACCUUACCCAGGCUUGACAUCCUUGGAAUUUUGUCGAAAGACGAGAGUGCCUUUUGGAA